AGGGUAAUGAUGGAAUUGGCAGACAUAAAUAGUUUAGGUCUAUUGGAUUUUUAGAAUCUUAUCCGUUCAAGUCGGAUUUACCUUA
rnacentral:tRNA from 1 species